UACAUGGGGUGCAAACGUUGCUCGGAAUUAUUGGGCGUAAAGCGCACGUAGGCGGUUUGUUAAGUCGGAUGUGAAAUCCCUCGGCUCAACUGAGGAAGUGCACCCGAAACUGGCAGGCUUGAGUACUAAAAGAGGGUCGCGGAAUUCCCGGUGUAGUGGUGAAAUGCGUAGAGAUCGGGAGGAACACCUGUGGCGAAGGCGGCCCCCUGGGCCGGCCCUGACACUGAGACGCGAAGGCGUGGGGAGCGAACGGG
rnacentral:rRNA from 1 species